AGGGCCACCUGGGAAGCGUAGUCUAGUUCCCCUCGCGCGGGCGCGCACGCGCGUAUGCACGCACUAGCUUGCGUCCGAAGCGAGGCGGCGACGUCAUUUACCCGCGCCGUCCUUCCUAGGCGCUCCGGGGUACGGGGCUCUCAGGCUUUCUCCGGUCGGGCGCAGGUCCGGGACCCAGAGCCGGCGGACCCGGGGCGCCCACAGGUGGGAGGGCGCAUCUCAGAGCCUACCACCCCCCGAGAUCGCCAGCGGACCCUCGCCCUGGAACCACGCCACCCCCAGGCUUGGCCAGAUCCACAAAUGGGUGAAAUGUUAACUUUUGAGGAAGCUGGAUGGAGGCGAUACAGUGAUUCUGUAUUGUUUCAGACCUAAAUCUGGAAACGUGAAAAUAAAAGUUAAAGAGAAAUAAAUAGUAAAUAGAUUAACAAAAAUGAAAUACUUGAUUUCGUGUUGGUUUUGUUAGCUAGGACAAGGGUCGCAAGGUUUGGGCGGUUCUAAAUGUGGAAGUAAGAAACGUCUAAACCUGUAGAGUUCUUAUGAGUUUAUUUGAGCCAAAUUGGUGACAGUUGCCAGGAAUCAAAAGCCCAACGGAUUGAGAAAAUGCUCUGGAGAAUGGCAGUUUUACAGCUUAUUUCUUUAUACAUUAGGAUCAAAGGAGAAGACAUAAAAGGCUGUAGUGGCUACAUGAAAUCCAGGGGUGGUAGAUGGAAGAGGCGGGAGAAAGGAAAGCUGGGGAAAUCUCGAAGAUUGGAUAAAAAGCAAAACAGAGAGACAAAUACUUGUUUUACGUUAGAAUGUGGGCAACAAGGUAACAGUGACGGGUUCUGUGGUCUCUUGCUCUGGUGGGAGUUGUGCCCUCCCGGGUCUGGAAAAAGAUGACUGACCUUCCAAAGGGGCCUCUCACAGAAACUCACUUCACAGAGAAGCCUGCACCGAACUGCCUGCCUGCACUGUGUUUCUGCCAUCUGAGCCAGCCCUCAUGAAGGAAUUCCUGGAAUCCUAAUUCAAUGAUCAGACUGAGGUUUCCUCCAUCCAAUUGAAGCUGUGCAGCUCCAGCAAAUCAGAGUGGCUCUGUUCUGACCAAUCAGGCUGUGGGGAUUUGGAAUCCUCAUUUGCAUGACUAUGGGCCAAUCAGAGACCACUUAAACCAGUUCCCCUCUGGCUCAGAGAGAUGGAAGCCCUUUCCCUGGCUGAGAUGAAACUCUGAAGGUGUCUUGCCAGAGCAGAGUGAAGCUGACUAACGCAGGACGAAGCAGACCACAGAGGAGCAGAGUUGCGUAUCUGGAGAAGGGCCUGGCUGGCGCCAGAGCUGUUCCACAGCUGUGCUGUAGCACAAUUGAGCUGUUUUGUACUGAAUAAAGUUUCCUUUUUCCAAAUUGGGGAUUUCUGUUGGCGUUGAAUUGGCACCAACAAUCACCAGUUGACGUUA